GUCUGAGGUGGAAGCGUGGUGACACGUGGAGCUGACAGAUACUAAUAGAUCGAGGACUUAACCUAU
rnacentral:rRNA from 1 species